rnacentral:rRNA from 1 species
CCAGCUCCAGUAGCGUAUAUUAAAGUUGCUGCAGUUAAAAAGCUCGUAGUUGAAGUUCUGCUUGUAAGAACGGCUUCUUUACGGAAGUCGUAGCUUCAAGCAUCAGUUUGCAACCAUCUGCACGACCUUUACUGGUCGGCUAUGUGAGCAAACGUUUUACCUUGAGAAAAUCAGAGUGCUCCAGGCAGGCUUCAGCCGGAAUGCAUUAGCAUGGAAUAAUGGAAUAGGACUGGGGACUAUUUAUUGGUUUGAGACUCCAGUAAUGAUUAAUAGAAACAGUCGGGGGCAUUAGUACUUAAUAGUCAGAGGUGAAAUUCUUGGAUUUAUUAAAGACUAACUAAUGCGAAAGCAUUUGCCAAGCAUGUUUUCA